rnacentral:rRNA from 1 species
AGCAGCCGCGGUAAUUCCAGCUCCAAUAGCGUAUAUUAAAGUUGUUGCAGUUAAAAAGCUCGUAGUUGAAUUUCGGGGUCAGUAGUUUGGUCAUGCCACAGGUAUGUACUGAUCUUACUGAUUCCUCCUUCCUGAUGAACCGUAAUGCCAUUAAUUUGGUGUUGCGGGGAAACUGGACUGUUACUUUGAAAAAAUUAGAGUGUUUAAAGCAGGCUAACGCUUGAAUACAUUAGCAUGGAAUAAUGAAAUAGGACGUUCGAUCCUAUUUUGUUGGUUUCUAGGAUUGACGUAAUGAUUAAUAGGGAUAGUUGGGGGCAUUAGUAUUCAAUUGUCAGAGGUGAAAUUCUUGGAUUUAUUGAAGACUAACUACUGCGAAAGCAUUUGCCAAGGAUGUUUUCAUUAAUCAAGAACGAAAGUUAGGGGAUCGAAGACGAUCAGAUACCGUCGUAGUCUUAACCAUAAACUAUGCCGACUAGGGAUCGGAUGAUGUUAAUUUUUUAAUGACUCAUUCGGCGCCUUACG